rnacentral:rRNA from 1 species
GUGGGGAAUAUUGGGCAAUGGGCGCAAGCCUGACCCAGCAAUGCCGCGUGAAGGAAGAAGGCUUUCGGGUUGUAAACUUCUUUGACAGGGGAAGAGCAGAAGACGGUACCCUGAAAACAAGCCACGGCUAACUACGUGCCAGCAGCCGCGGUAAUACGUAGGUGGCAAGCGUUGUCCGGAUUUACUGGGUGUAAAGGGCGUGUAGCCGGGAAGGCAAGUCAGAUGUGAAAUGCGGAGGCUCAACCUCCGAAUUGCAUUUGAAACUGUUUUUCUUGAGUACUGGAGAGGCAGACGGAAUUCCUUGUGUAGCGGUGAAAUGCGUAGAUAUAAGGAGGAACACCAGUGGCGAAGGCGGUCUGCUGGACAGCAACUGACGGUGAGGCGCGAAAGCGUGGGGAGCAAACAGGA